rnacentral:rRNA from 1 species
CUCUUCGGGGAUGAUUAAACCGGCGCACGGGUGAGUAACACGUGAGUGACCUGCCUUUUAGACUGGAACAACUUACCGAAAGGUGAGCUAAUGCCGGAUGAGUUAUAUAAGUGCAUGUUUAUAUAGGAAAAGUUGGGGAGACCUGACGCUGAAAGAUGGACUCGCGUCCCAUUAGCUAGUUGGUAGGGUAAUGGCCUACCAAGGCGACGAUGGGUAGCCGGCCUGAGAGGGUGGCCGGCCACACUGGGACUGAGACACGGCCCAGACUCCUACGGGAGGCAGCAGUGGGGAAUUUUGCGCAAUGCUCGUAAGAGUGACGCAGCGACGCCGCGUGAAUGACGAAGGCCUUCGGGUCGUAAAGUUCUUUCGACAGGGAAGAAAAUGCCUAUAAGUAACUGUGUAUGUAUUGACGGUACCUGUAUAAGCAGCCCCGGCUAACUCCGUGCCAGCAGCCGCGGUAAUACGGAGGGGGCGAGCGUUGUUCGGAGUGACUGGGCGUAAAGAGCACGUAGGCGGUGUUGUAAGUCAUUAGUCAAAGACAAGAGCUCAACUUUAGUAAGGCUAGUGAUACUAUAAUACUAGAGUAUCAGAGAGGAUUGCAGAAUUCCUGGUGUAGCGGUGAAAUGCGUAGAUAUCAGGAGGAAUACCGUUAGCGAAGGCGGCAAUCUGGCUGGAAACUGACGCUGAGGUGCGAAAGCGUGGGUAGCAAACAGGAUUAGAUACCCUGGUAGUCCACGCUGUAAACGAUGGAUGCUAGG